AUCACAUUCUCUGAUUCUGCAAAAGCAGGUGGGAGCCCUAGAGAGAGUUCUCGUUUUUUUUUUUUUUUUUUUUUUUUUCUUUUUUGAGAUGGAGUCUCGCUUAGAGGCUCAGGAUGGAGCCCAAUGGAGCAAUCUCGGCUCACUGCAACAUCCGCUUCCUGGUUUCAGGCGAUUCUACUGCCUCAGCCUACCGAGGAGCUGGGUUAACAGGCACCCGUUAUUAUGCCCAGCUAAUUUUUGUAUUUUCAUAGAGACAGGGUUUAACCAUGUUGGCCACGCUGGACUCGAACUCCUGCCAUCAGGUGAUCUGUCAGCCUCAGCCUUUCAAUGUGCCGAGAUUACAGGCGUGAGCCACUGUGGCCAGCGAGUUCUCUUUUCUUUGUGAAGGGCAAGGCAAAGUGGAAUGGAUUAAUCUAAAAGCGGAGUGCAUGCCCUGGAAAACAUCAUGGUUAGACCCAUGUGAGACAGGUUAGUUUUACUGCGUGUGUUCUCCAUGUGUUGUUGCCCAUGUGUUGCUACCAUGGUAAUCCUGCUGAGUAUGAGAGGAAUCAAAGUUUCACACAUUUGGUGUAUGUGCUUGACUGAGGAACCAAUGGGGUGAAGCUACCAUCUGUGGGAUUAUGACUGAACGCCUCUAAAUCAGAAUCCCGCCCAGAAGAAAGGAUGCAGCAGCGCUGGCAAGACUCGGUUGGCCUCAGAUAGCCAGUCCCCAGCCUUUGCCACCGGCCGGACGCUCCGCCCCGCUGUGCGCCAAGACCUUGCUCCGGUCUUAUCAUCCUAAAAAACGGGGUGCGGCCCCCCAUCCUAAAAAACGGGGUGCGGCCAGAAAGGCGUUUGCUCCCUGGCCCGUCACAUAACAUGCUCAUGGGGAAUCUGAUACUAAACUAUUGGUAAACGCCCUGCUUCUGGGUCAGGGUUUCCUAUGGAGCAGAGCAACUCCCUCACUGCAACCUAUUGAAAGUCAGCCCUCCACACAAGGGGCUCUCAACCAGUGUGCGGGAAAGCUAGCGUUGUGGCGUGUCCUGUAUAAUUCAGCCCUGGACCUCUACCUUCCUUCUUCCCUCCUUUUGCCCCGGGGACUUAGUUCCCGGGCCUGCUCAGGCCCCCCGCCCCGGAGCCCCAGGGCAUGCAGGGCUGUCUCUCGCGAGAUAACAUUGGCGUCGGCCGUGCAUUUGGGAGGGGUCGUUCCCCAACAGCAGGCUUUCCAAGAUGCAGCGCUGGGGGUUGCGAGGUAGGGUUGGCGCCCCUGCUCGAUGUUCCACCUCUCUGAUUGAGCUUCUUUCUCCCAUCCCGCUGGGAAUUCCUCCACGAGUUGGGACCGGAUUCUUCGAGCCUCGUGCGAAUGGCUGAGGCGCGGGUGUCAGAGGUUUUGCCCCUGCAGUCCCUGCCUGAGUAGUGUUCGCGCGAUGCCCGUGGGUGGCUGUUGGGGUCACAGUCCCUCUCCCCGCCUCAGGGGUGCUGGGAUGAAAGACUAGCUAGUCACUACCCUUGUGUCUUUACUCCUCUUCUCUGUCCGGGUCAACCAGCGGACUGCGGGGAAAUGGCUGGCAGGUCUGCCAAGUUAGACGGCCUCAAACCUGGGCCGGUUCUGUGUGAUAAGGUUCCAACUGCGUCUGAUCGCUUCCCUCCGCGAGCACCACAUUUGGUCUUUAGGGUGGACCCUGUCGAUUAGAUGCUGGCGUUUGGCUUCCCGAUCAGCCCGCGAAUCAGCCGACUGCGGGAAGCAAGCAACAUCCAGUUGACACGGCCGCGGGCUUCUCUGUCUGGAAGACCUGGGACCAGGGCCUAAGGCCCCAGUCCUCAGGUCUCUGGUCGCCGUGCCCACCUGAUGUCCGCGGCAAGCGUUGGACUUGACCGUCAACUUGGGAUUUCUAAGGUAGACCAGAUAACUUUGGUCAGCAGCAGUACCGCCCGCAUUCACUAGGUGUCGCUUUUUCCUUGCGUUGUUUCUUCCUCUCCAACUGUUUCCACAGUACUUUCAGUUUCUCUUCGUUUUGUUUUUCUUUUAUUUUUCUUGCUCCUCUUUCUACACACUGAAGUUGCUGUUGUUUUACAUUUACCUUUUAUUUAUUUGUAGUUUUUGAGGCAGGUUGGAGUGUAAGAAUGCAAUCUCGGCUUACAGCCGCCUCGACUUUCCAGGACUCCCUCAGGUGAUCUUCCUAUCUCAGCCUUCCAAGUGGCUGAGACUACAGGAAUCACUUAAUUCUGUGAUGUCGAAGCUGAAGUGAGCCGUGAUGAUGCCUUGCCCUCCAGUCUGAGUGUUUCAGAAGGUGGAGUUUCGCUCUUAUUGCCCAGGCUGGAGUUCAGUGGCGUGACCUCAGCUCACCGCAACCUCUGCCGCCUGUGUUCAAGAGAUUUUCCAGUCUUCACCCUUUCGAGUAGCUGAAACCACAGGCAAACACCUCCAGGCCUGGCUAAUUUUUUUUUUUUCAUAGAGACUAGGUAGCUCCAUAAUGGUCAGGCUGGUCUAGAACACCCAACCUGAGGCGUACCACCCAACUUGACCACCCAAAGUGCUGAGAUUAAAGGCGUGAGCUCCGCGUCUGGCCAUAACAUCUUAUCCUAUAGAAGCCCAGAGAGGUUAGGUAUGUAGUCCCUGAGACCAGCCUUCCUUGGAUGAACUCCAAAGUGAUGGCUGAGGAUUAGGGAGUGUGGGGUGGGGGCUGGAAAGUCGGUCCCCUAUUGUUGCUACCUAGGCCAUGACAUCCCCAUACUCCCAUCGCCUGCUCACCGUUUGAGAUUCCCCCCCACCACCGCCUUGGUGGCUGAACUCUUACUUUAAUUUCUGUCUUUCUUCGUUUGUUGGGUUUCAGGAGGGGGUGCAGGAAAGACGGUGUGCGUGGGGAGGGGGUGUAGGGUGGGGAUGGAGGGGAGCGUCCUAAGGGUCGAUGUAGUGUCAUGCCUCUUUCAUCACCACCACCGAAGAUGAAACAAUAAUCAUCUAAAUACCGCGUGUUCUCACACAUAAGUGGGAACUACAUAAUGAGAAUGCAUGCGAAGAACUAGGGGGACGAGAGACGCAGGAGCCUACCUGAGGGAGGACGUGUGGAAGGACAGACAGCUUCAGGACAAAGCAAAACGAGCAGAACACAAAAACUGUAGGGGACUGCGCUGAGAAUCCGGGUGAGGAAAUCAUCGGCACACUGAACCCCCUACUCAGAAGUUUACCUAUGAAACAAUCUUGCACAUGUAUGCUUCAAAAACAAAUAACAGUUAGGGAAGAAAGAGAGAGAGAGAGAAAGAGAGAGAGACAAGUAAAAUAAAGCACCACCUCCUUGACCUGACUCAGGGCGUUUGGGGUCUUCUGGGGAAAUGUUCUGAAACAAUGGAGUAUUUUGGUCUGUUCUUUCUUGUGUCUUUUUUUUUUUUUUAAGACGGACUCUCGCUCAGCCACCCAGGCUGGAAUGCAGUGGUGCACUGGGUUCACUGCAGCAAAUAUCUCCCGGGUUGAAGCGAUUCUCCAGUCUCAUCCUCCUGAGUGGCCGGGAUUACAGUCACGCGCCAUAAUGCCCUGCUAAUUUUUGAACAUUAGUAGAGAAGGGGUAUUGCCAUGCUUGCGACGCUGGACUUGAAGGC